UGGGGAAUUUUGGACAAUGGGGGCAACCCUGAUCCAGCCAUCCCGCGUGUGCGAUGAAGGCCUUCGGGUUGUAAAGCACUUUUGGCAGGGAAGAAACAGCCUGGGAUAAUACCCGGCGGACUGACGGUACCUGCAGAAUAAGCACCGGCUAACUACGUGCCAGCAGCCGCGGUAAUACGUAGGGUGCAAGCGUUAAUCGGAAUUACUGGGCGUAAAGCGUGCGCAGGCGGUUCGGAAAGAAAGGUGUGAAAUCCCAGGCGUUAACCUUGGAACUGCACUUUUAACUACCGAGCUAGAGUACGUCAGAGGGGUGAGAAUUCCACGUGUAGCAGUGAAAUGCGUAGAGAUGUGGAGGAAUACCGAUGGCGAAGGCAGCCCCCUGGGAUGAUACUGACGCUCAUGCACGAAAGCGUGGGAGCAACAGAUAGAUACCUGUAGUCCACGCCUAAACGAUGUCAACUAGCUGUUGGGUUAUUAACCUUAGUAGCGCAGC
rnacentral:rRNA from 1 species